CAUUCGCCGCGGGAAUACGAAGGGUGCAAGCGUUACUCGGAAUUACUGGGCGUAAAGCGUGCGUAGGUGGUGGUUUAAGUCCGUUGUGAAAGCCCUGGGCUCAACCUGGGAAUUGCAGUGGAUACUGGGUCACUAGAGUGUGGUAGAGGAUAGUGGAAUUUCCGGUGUAGCAGUGAAAUGCGUAGAGAUCGGAAGGAACAUCUGUGGCGAAGGCGACUAUCUGGGCCAACACUGACACUGAGGCACGAAAGCGUGGGGAGCAAACAGGAUUAGAUACCCCAGUAGUCCCUGUCUCUUAUAC
rnacentral:rRNA from 1 species